rnacentral:rRNA from 1 species
AUGACGUUGGGAAAGCGAGCGGCGGAUGGGUGAGUAACACGUGGGGAACCUGCCCCUAAGUCUGGGAUACCAUUUGGAAACAGGUGCUAAUACCGGAUAAUAAAGCAGAUCGCAUGAUCAGCUUUUGAAAGGCGGCGUAAGCUGUCGCUAAGGGAUGGCCCCGCGGUGCAUUAGCUAGUUGGUAAGGUAACGGCUUACCAAGGCGACGAUGCAUAGCCGAGUUGAGAGACUGAUCGGCCACAUUGGGACUGAGACACGGCCCAAACUCCUACGGGAGGCAGCAGUAGGGAAUCUUCCACAAUGGACGCAAGUCUGAUGGAGCAACGCCGCGUGAGUGAAGAAGGUUUUCGGAUCGUAAAGCUCUGUUGUUGGUGAAGAAGGAUAGAGGUAGUAACUGGCCUUUAUUUGACGGUAAUCAACCAGAAAGUCACGGCUAACUACGUGCCAGCAGCCGCGGUAAUACGUAGGUGGCAAGCGUUGUCCGGAUUUAUUGGGCGUAAAGCGAGCGCAGGCGGAAAAAUAAGUCUAAUGUGAAAGCCCUCGGCUUAACCGAGGAACUGCAUCGGAAACUGUUUUUCUUGAGUGCAGAAGAGGAGAGUGGAACUCCAUGUGUAGCGGUGGAAUGCGUAGAUAUAUGGAAGAACACCAGUGGCGAAGGCGGCUCUCUGGUCUGCAACUGACGCUGAGGCUCGAAAGCAUGGGGUAGCGAACAGGAUUAGAUACCCUGGUAGUC